rnacentral:rRNA from 1 species
CCAGUUCUUUCCCCCGACCCCCUGUUUUCCUCUGUUUCCCGUGGUCGUCCCCUGUUUCCUCUUCUCCUUCUCCCCCGACGACUUCUCUUCUCCCCUGACGAUUGAGUUCGAUCCUCAGGUGAAUCAGGCGCAUCGACGAACCCUAAUCCGACGUCUGGCGCAUCGACUACUUCUCCUAUGUUCUUCUUCCUCCGUCGCGUGAUGGAUUCGUCUGCACACGAAGGAGGUGGGGUUAGCCAAGUUGAAGAACCAGAAGGGGACGAACCAACUGAAUAUCGUCCACGAGGUCUCUGGAAUGACUCAGGUGCCCGAGUGUCCCUAGGAAGUCAUGCAAUCCUACAUACAUUACCAGACUGUCUUUCAAGCGUUGGAACAAAACUGUGAAGCAGUUUAGUGAUAUUCAGUUAGGCCAUGUGAGAAAGUACAAAAUGGAAACUCUGCUUCAUAUGCCAAAGAAACCUAAAAUUCCAAUGAAUCUGCUUGAAUGGAUAGAUCAACAUAUGUUUGGAAGUAAAGAGCCCUGUUUCAAGCAUAAGAAUAAAAUUAUCAAGAUUACUAAAGAUAUGGUUGACAAAAUUUUCGAUUUCCUUGGUGGCACCGUGCCUUUUGUAUUCAGUAGCGGCGAUCCCCAAGUGAAGGCAGAGGUUACAGAGUUAAGGAACAAGUAUGUUGAUCAUCGGAACAAAAUGCCAAUCAACAAAAUAGAGGAGGUGAUGCUUGGUGAUGAGACAGAAGAUGGAUUUAUCAGGAGCUUCGCAUUUUAUUUCCUACCAUCUAUUUUGUGCCCUGCAUCAUACUGCUUUGGUAACAUGAAGUUCUUGUACUCUCUAAGAGAUGUUUCUGCUAUCCCUUCACUUGACUUUGGGCAACUGGCACUGGAUUUCAUGCGUGAGGAGUCAGAGCGUCAUUUUGAAAUGAUCAUGAACAGACCAAGUGUUGAGGAAAUGAACAAGUCUUCAUAUAUUGGGGGAUGUCUUCCUAUUUGAGGAAUCAUUUAUCUGGAUUUUAUUGAUCUUGAUGUUAUUGAGAAUCAUCAGUCAACUGUGGAUUAUUCUCUUCCUCGGAUAUGUCAUGUUAAGACUGAAGAUUUCAAGUAUCUCGCAAUGGUUGAUAGGAAUUAUGAGUCUAGGAAAAAUUACGGGGUUUUACCACUGCGAGACAUAUCACACACACCAUAUGCAAAUGUGGUGCAUGUUAACAAUGCUCCUGAUGCUGCUGGUGUGUUUAAUUCAGUUCCUUCUGUGGAGGUCAACAAUGCCAAUAGUGUUCCUGAAGCUCUCAAUGAGAACACGUCAAUUGAUUCAAAAAGUCCUCAUAUCAUUUCAGAAGGUCCCAGUUGCACUGCAAAAGUUGAACCUGAUGUAAAAUUUAAACCAGAGCCACAUUUGAAAUCAGAGGUCCCCUCCAAUGAUGUAGUUAAGAACGAGCCAAUCGGACCAAAAUUUGAGAACAUUUCUGUCCUGAAUUCGACGUACCAAACACCAUUUUUUCCUAUCAAUGGUACACCUCUGAAUACCAACUCUGUUGAGCAACCAACUACUUCACAACCUAAGCAGGAAGAAAUUUUUCUAUCGACUGAAGCACCUGAUAUCAAAUUUUCUAGUGGAGUUAAUGCAAAAAGAAGUUUUAUAUUGAUUAGUUCCUCUUCUCCAAAUGAAAGUGUGAAGCGCUCCCAAGGGACUCCAAUCGUUAUUCAGGAUGAUUCUCCUAUCACUCCUGCUGCUGCGACUAAUGAAGACAUACCAGCCUCUCACUGUGAUACAAGUGUAGGAAUCCCAAUGAACAUGGACUUUGCUAUCCAACAAGGCUAUUCUACAAUGAAUAAUGCAGAAGCUGGACCGAGUACAGGAACUAAUACAAUUGAAAAGAAGAACAGAAAGAAAAGAGCAGCUAAACUUCAAUCCCCCGAUCCACCCAAGAAACUCAAAAUCUCUCGUGAAGUGGAUAUCUUCUUUUCCAAAUAUCUGAGGAAGCCUAUCUUCCAAGAAUACACUCUUUUUGUUGACAUAGAGGGUUUUCCUGUAAGCUAUGAGAAUUACUUAAAUUCAUUUAAAGCGAGGGGUGAGAUUGGAGAUGAAGUGAUGAACUCAUUUAUUCAAGUUCUUAACUACGAAUCAAAGAUGUCAUCUGAAGUAAAGCCUUCUGUCAAGAAGUACUGUUUCACUUCGUACUUCACUAAUAAAUUGUUGGUUCCCCCUGAGUUAUUUGAUCCAGUUUCGUGCAUACGAGAAUUUGACAGGAUUAAUUAAGAAGAAAGCCUCUGGAAGCAAGACUUGGUAAAUCUUUUUCAACUUAUUCAAUGUUAAGCAAGAUCUAUUCUAUUUGUUUUUAUACUCAUUCUGCUUUUUCUUGUUGAACAAUUAUACUUCCAUGCUAUAAAAUCAAACCAUUGGGUUAUACUUUCCAUUAACUCUCUCUUUGAGAGAUCUCACUUUUUUGAUCCCUGUGGCACCAUUCUGGGAACUACCCAAGAAGAACUUGUCUACAACUUGGCAUGACUCAGGCCACUAUCUGCCUUUGUACAUCGAAAAUUUUGAAGGCAAAGCUAUGAAGACUUUCAGUGUGGCCAACAUUCUGAAGUACAGGAUGAUAUCUGUGUUCAAGUUAUUCAAAAGCACUUUGAACAAGCUGAAGGAAGAAGAUCUGCCAAUAGCAAAUUGACUUUUUCCGCAAGAUGCAUCUGCAAACAUUUUGAAUGUGUAAUUGAUCGGAGAAGAGCAUGCAUUUUCAUGUCUGCAAUAGUUUCAUCUGUAAUCAUAUGGUAGUAGAUAGUACUAGUUGUUUAAACAUAUGUCACCCGCGAGCAACUGCUAUACUCUUUUGGAUAUCUACUCUUCUUCAGGAACUAUAUAGUAUCUAUGUUGCAAUUACUGGGCGUACUAAGCGUAUCUUUUGUUUUGCUAAAAGUGGAACUAUAUUUUCUUCGUGAACUAUAUAGUAUCUAUGUUGCAAUCUCUGCGCAUACUAAGCGUAUAUUUGUUUUACUAAAAGUGGAACUAUAUUUCCUGUAUUUUUCUUUAUUUUUUUGUCCCUUCCAUGUGUUUUAAAAUAUUUGCC